rnacentral:misc_RNA from 1 species
GUAGGUGAACCUGCGGAAGGAUCAUUAUCGAGUUCUUUGAAGUGGGCUUUGAGCUGGCCGCAAGGCAUCGUGCUCGAGCCCCGCUCAUCCACUUAACCCCUGUGCACUUUCGAGGUGUGGUCCCCCGUCAUGGGAGCCGCUCCCGCCUUCGGGCGGUGAGCCGGGAUCGCACCCUCGCCCUUCUCACAAACCACAUAGUAAAAGUCUUAUGAACGAAAUUGAUAAUAAUACAACUUUCAACAACGGAUCUCUUGGCUCUC